CCCGGUGUCUGUUCAGUUACCAGCCAGCUCUACCCCCUGCAACGGGAAAAAUGGAAUUUUGGGUCUAUUUAGUUUUCGCGGUGGCAGCUUUGCCAGGUGCCCGGUCCCAGAUCAGCUUGGUGGAGACCGGAGGGGAUGUGAAGAAACCCGGAGACUCUCUGCGCCUCUCCUGCAAAGCCUCCGGCUUCACCUUCAGCAGCUACAGGAUGAACUGGGUCCGGCAGGCUCCCGGGAAGGGGCUGGAGUGGGUCGCUUACUUCAGCAGCGAUGGGAGUACUACACACUACCUUGAUGCCGUGAAAGGCCGAUUCACCAUCUCCAGGGACAAUCCCAACAACCUGCUGCACCUGCAAAUGACCGGCCUGAAGCCCGAGGACACCGCCCGCUAUUACUGUGCGAGAGACACAGUGACGUGAAACCGAUUGACGUU